GGUUAAGUGACUAAGCGUAUGUGGUGGAUGCCUUGGCAGUUAGAGGCGAUGAAGGACGUGUUAAUCUGCGAAAAGCUUUGGUGAGGUGAUAAAAACCGUUAUAGCCAAAGAUGUCCGAAUGGGGAAACCCACUUAUCAUAAGAUAGGUAUCGUUAACUGAAUACAUAGGUUAACGAGGCGAACCGGGAGAACUGAAACAUCUAAGUACCCCGAGGAAAAG
rnacentral:rRNA from 1 species